AUACUUACCUGGCGGGGAGACACCAUGAUCAUGAAGGUAGUUUUCCCAAGGUGAAGCUUAUGCAUUGCAUUUGGGAUGUGCUGACUCCUGCAAUUUCCCCAAAUGUGGGAAACUCGACUGCAUAAUUUGUGAUAGUGUAGGACUGUAUUUGCUCUAUCCCCUG